UUCACAACCUCUUUGGGCAACCUGUUCCCAUGUGUCACCAUCCUCUGUGUGAAAAACUUCCUCCUAAUAUCUAACCUAAACCGCUCCUGUCUCAGUUCAAGACAUUCCCUUGGGGAAUAAGAGUGGAAUGGAAGACUGUGUAGAGGAAAUGGACCUUGGGGUGUUGGUUGACACUCAGCUGAACAUGAGCCAGCAGUGUGCCCAGAUGGUCAAGAAGGCCAAUGCAUCCUGGCUUUUAUCAGAUAUAGAGUUGCCAGCAGAAGCAGGGAGGUGAUUAUCCUUCUGUACUCAGCCCUGGUGAGGCUGCACCUUGAGUACUGUGUUCAGUUUUGGGCCCCUCACUGCAAGAAAGUCAUUGAGGCCCUGAAGUAUGUCCAGAGGACAAUGAAGCUGGUGAGGGGUCUGGAGCACAAGUCUUGUGUGGAGCAGCUGAGUGAGCUGGGAUUGUUUAGUUUGGAGAAGAGGAGGCUCAGGGGAGACUUCAUCGCUCUCUACAACUACCUGAAGGGAGGCUGUGGUGAGGUGGGAUUCAGCCUCUUUGCCCAUGUAAAUAGCAAUAGGACUAUAGGGAACGGCCUCAAGUUGCGCCAGGUGAAAUUCAGGCUGGAUUAGGAAAUAUUUCUUCUCUGAGAGAGUGGUCAAACACUGGAAUGGGCUGCCCUGGGAGAUGGUAGAGUCACCAUCCCUGGAGGUGUUCAAGGAACGUUUAGAUGUUGUUCUGAGGGACAUGGUUCAGUGAGAAAUAGGUGGACAUUUGGACUAGAUGAUCUUGGAAAUCUUUUCUAACCUUGGUGAUUCUAUGACACAGGGCUAAUCCAGACAUUGAGUGGACCAGGGUUAGGACAUACUGGUGCCGCGUGAUAUCUCAUUUCAUGCAUUUUCCCUUGCUAAGAUCUGCUCAGGAGCAAGUCAUCCUUUCCAGAGGAGCUCUGGGUGAUAGAUUUGUGCACCUAUUGUUCAAAGACAAGAUGGUAUUUACGUUGCUUGUUACUGCACCCCUUAGGCAGGUGAUAUUCUGGACUAGCCUGGGCUUCCUAGAAUGACAAAUGUUACGCUUUUGUACUGUCUGUAAGCUAGGGCUAAGCUGCAGGCCAUCAUUUACUCUGAAACCUGAGAAAUAUUCUCUGUGCUCUCAGCUUUCCUUUAUGCUCGCUUUUGGCAAAGUUAGAGUGCAUGAAAAAGAUGAUACACCAAUUACAUCCACCCUGUCUGCUGUUCGGGGGCAAACAUGUCUUAUGCAUUAUGAUUCAGAAGCUUGCUUGUGCUUUUUUUUUACCAGCUUCUGAAUUCUCUGCAUUGAUCUGUCAGAAAAGCAAAAGGUCCUGAAUGAAGAUUAUGGUCCAGUGCAGUAUGUGUUUGCUCUGUACUGAAGGAUGAAAACUUCUACCAAAGGGACAGAAAAAUCACAAGAAGCCUCAGUUUUGUCCUCGUGAGGACAAGUCAAUAGUUUAAUGCCAAGAAUAUUGGUCAUUAAAAGGGAUCUGUAGUCCCCAAAUUAGAUUUUAUUUUGACCUAGCUUGUUCUUGAAUCAGAGUUAUAGGCAAAAAUUCAAUUUCAUUUGGUUUAUGUUCAGUUUCUUCUUUUGGCCUUCAAAAGCAGUAUACUGAAUCCAUGCUAUUCUCAUUACUGAAGGAAGGUGGUGGCAAGGAAUCCCAUGGGACCUCGUGAGUCAGUAUGUCCUUCCUUUGAUAUCAGAGUGUCCAAAAAACCUUUCCCUAUCCCACUUUACAUUUAAGGUAAUAAUGUCUUUGUGACCUGUUUUGAGAGGCAUCCUUUGGUGUGAUCCACAUGCCUACUCUCUGUAUAGAGCAGACAAGGGCAAACAUUUGCCUUAAAACUCACCAUUGUCUCUGUGGGUAGGAACCAGUUGCUCCUGGUCUGGGAGGAAACUCUGCUUUAUGGACAAUGAGAAUACAGAAGCAUGGAGAUAAACCUUACGAUGAUGGUUGCUGCCCAUAUAGUGAAAUGCUGAAACUGCUAAAACAACACAACAGAACCAUGUUUUGUCACACUUCUAUUCAUCUUUUCCUCACCAGAUUUUCUAUGUCAAGCUAGAAGCAGUCACCUGGCACGAGAACUGUAUAAAUGUCAGAGAAAUUCCCCAUCAGCUAUUUUUGGGCAAAAUCAAUUCUCUCUAUAUUUGAGAAGCUCUGUGCUUGCUAAGCUCCCUACCUUUUAACUGCAAAUUGCUGUAAAUAUUUUCCCCUUAUCAUCAAUACAGCACAGGGAAGCAAAUCCAGUUUGAGGCUGAGCUGGUAGGUUUUCAGGCCAGUUUAAGCCCGCUGUUUUAUUCAUUAAUUUUUACCUAGAUGUGCAAAACCUUACUUCUCUUGGAAGCUAUGAAUCAUAGAACCAUAGAAUCAUAGAAUCCCUUGAGUUGGAAGGGCCCUUUAAAGGUCAUCUAGUACAAUUCCCCUGCAAGGAACAGGGACACCUACAGAUUACUUAGAGUCCUCCCCAGCAUGACUGUGGGUGUCUACAACAAUGGAGCAUCUACCACAUCUCUGGGCAGCCUGUGCCAGUACCUCACCACCCUCAUCAUAUAAAACAUUUUCUUGAUAUGCAAUCUGAAUCUCACCACUUCUAGUUUGAAACCAUUUCCCCUUGUCCUACCAUGGCAGAUGCUGCUAAAGAGUCUGUCCCCUUCUUUCUUACAGCCCCCUUUAGAUAUUGGAAGACUGCUCUCAGGUCUCUCCAGAUCCUUCUCUUCUCCAGGCUGAACAGCCCCAGUAAGUCCCAUGAAGUCCUGCUUUGAUGCCACGAAGUACAAUCGAGCCCCAAAAAUAUCACCUGCUGUUUUCAUAGGGAGGGAAGAAUGCUGGCAUUGUUAGAGCUGCUCUGUGUGGUUGUCACCUAAAAGCUUCUAUGACCAUGAGUGGGUUGGAGUACAGAGAUGCAGGAUCAGGAGCAAGACAUUUGGGGUUCAACCCAGAGCAAAUGUGGAUGCACAAGGCCAAAGAGUGACCCAAAAAACCUUUGUAUUCACUGGGAAUGAUUUUAAUAUCCAUAGAAUCAGUACCUGCCCCUCUGCUCCUCUGUGUGGAGCUGCAGACCACCAUGAGGCCUCCCCUCAGUCUCUUCUGCUCUGGGUUGAAUAAACUCGUGGACUUCAGCUCCUCCUCAUACAUCUCGCCCUGUAGAUCCUUCCCCGUCUUUAUAGCCCUCCUUUGGAUGUUAUUUAAUAGUUUUAUGUCCUACUUCUCUAUUGUGGCACCCAAACCUGCCCCCAGUGCUUGAAAUGAGAGUGUACAGUGCAGAGCAGAAAGGACAGUCCCUUCUCUCACCUGGUGGAAGUUCUGGCCUUGAUGCACUGCAGGGUAGACUUGGCCCUUUUGGCUGCCAGGGCACACUGCUGACUCAGUUUCAACUGGCAUCUACCAGAACCCUCCAAUCCCUUUCCAUGGGACUGCUCUCCGUUCUCUCAUCCCUCAGGGUGAUAGCCAGGGUUAUCCCGUCCCAGAUACGAAAUCUGGCAUUUGCUUAGUUGGUCAUUGCCUAGUCCUCCAUUCACUUUGACCAAACUUUGCCAAAUUUCUCUCAGGAGAGAUUCUACUGGGGGAUGGCUGUGGGAGAGUAAAAUGCCAGUAACUGUUGUUGCCAAGUCCAUCAAGCAGGGCUUGUAUGAACAGGAGCAUUAUUGCUUGGCGUUGUACAAGACACAAAAUGGCUCGCCUUCAAACUGCUAUUGUAAUUUUCAUCAAAGCUGUGCUUCUGACUCAACACACUGUACUUAACACAAUUUAUGACAAUAUUUCUCCCUCAAUAGCUUUUUGGAGAGUGUGUGCAACCUAUUCUGCAGACUGCUGGUUUUCUUACUUAGCAUCUAUUUUAUGGUCUGCAUUUUAAAUUCCUUUAAGUGCAGGCAGUUGAGGAACAGGUUUCUGGGAGAGAGAGAGAGAGGUACCACAAGUCAAUCCCAAUUCCCUCUUGCAGUAUCUAUACACUCUUUAUAGGCUAGUAUCUUCUCCCCCAGAGACUGCAGCAUUUCAGGAGUAGACAGAACAAUCCCAGUCUAUGUAAAUCACUUAAAAUUAUAAUGUUCUGUGAGAUACUUCCAUAUAUAAGAUGGAGUAUUGAUAUUGAUGGGGUAGUAACUGUUAGCUGAGAUCACAGACCUCUCAUACUAGGCAUUACCCAACACCAUAGGCAGAAUUUGUUCCCACUUCAGAAAGCUUUCAUCAUAAAUAGGUGUAUUAUAUAAAGGAUGGAGGAAUAAAGAAAGGAAGCCACACAAGAUCUGUCCAUACUGUCAGAUAUCUCCUACAUAUUUGUCCCAAUACCUGUAUGUCCCCACACUGCAUAAAUAUUAAUUCUCUUCCACGUUCUUUUUUAUUAUUAUUAUUGUUUUUUCCUUGGAUACUUCUUGUGAGUUGUUUUGUUGUAGUUGUUUUGUUGUAGUUGUUUUGUUGUUGUUAUUUUGUUGUUGUUGUUGUUGUGUUGUUGUUGCUGCUGGUUUUUUGAAUGAACCAACUAGUCCACUCCUAUGUGAAACCUGGAUGUUUUGGGACAUGAUUCCCUUCUGUCUGGAUGGAAGCACACCAUGUCAAGCUCCGUGCAGCAUCUAGAGCCCUCCAAAGCUCCCCUAAACUUACUCUGUCAGACUCUAUGUUCAAGGCAUGUAAUCCAUUACCAUACGAUCAUGACAGAAAGCAUCCACCCUGGUGGAGAGUAGCAAUGUGCUUCUGGCUGCUUUGAUGUGCAAAUCAAUCAGUCAAUUAAUCAGUCAAAGGAAAAAAAAAAACCCUGCACUAAACUUCAUGAUUAUAUCUUAGAGCUACAGAUGCACCUCUGUAAGUGCAGAGAUACAUGCUAUGACACUGCUGGUCCCUUCCAGAGAUGCUAUCAAGGACAGAAUAUAUAGAGCUAAUCACUACGAGUUAGUCAAAAUCACAAAGUAGACAUUUUUUGGCAGUGUAAAUAUAACGAUAAUACAGUUCUGUGGCAGAACAGAUUAUUAAACUGGCUGGAAGUGGUAUCACACUGUCAGUUAAAAUCUAAAGAAAUUUUUACCUACUUUUGUGGUUGUCUUCUUUCCAGCGCUAGGUUUCUUGCCUCUGAGUCCAGUUUGGGGAAAGGAGAAUGAAGGGAAGGUGUAAGUCUGAUGUCUUUUCAGGAGGUGAAGAUAAUAUGAAAAGCCUGAACUGGCUUUAAUAAGCAGUAUUACCACUAGAGGAAAGAGCCAGCCAUUGUAUUGGCUGUUUGACACUACAACAAAUGCAGCAAAAGUCAAAUGUGUCAAAGCAUGUCUUUCAGAUAUUUCAAAGACUGUAACUUGUACUUAAUUAAUUACUUCCAGUACUGAGAAAUUAUUAUGGCUAUAGCACAAGUUCAAGAGAGUAAAUCAAUAGAUGACUUGUGCAGGUGGACUCCCGAGGUUGUGUGAAAGAAAUAAGCCUGAACUCAGAGGCUAGAGAAUCAACUAAGUUCUCAGUAUAGCCCAUGCAGUCAAAGUACGUGGCUUAGCAUAGGUGACUGAAGCAGGAGUAAGAUGAAAACACCAGAUUACAAAAAUUUAGUUAUACUUUUCCACAUCAAAUAUAAGCUCCCUGCACCAAGGCUUCAUUCAGAGUGUAAUAAGUGUGGGAGCUUUGCAACCUACUGUAGGCAACAAGUUUUAGUGGGGAGGUUGGUCUUGAUGAUCUCCAGGUCUUUUCCAGAGGUCUUUUCCAAACCUACAAUUCUGUGACAUUGACUCAUGAUCAAAUUGUCUUUGGCAAAGCCUAGGAUUCACUUCAAUCCCCCAAAUCUCUUUUUUAGGAAAUAUAAGUGAUGCAUUGGCUUCCCUUAGCCUUCUGUGACCAGCAGCUUACUGUACGUAUUGGCUGAAGAUAUUAAAGACUUCAGGGGGUAUUCUGUGAUGUGAUGAUCUGCACCAUGUGAGGUCUUUCUUUAAAGUCUUGAAAUACUAUGCAAGGCUGCAGAAACCAAAGAUAAAACUUAGUUGGAUGGCCUGGCAAGAUACCACUUUUUCUGAUACUUAUCAAAGUCUAGUAGGAAGUCUGGGAGGUCCCAUGGCCAGAAGUCUUCAGGUUAAUCGUGUGUCUCAUGAUGUUAUAUUAUCAUUUGUAAUAAAACUUUAUUUCUCCCAUAGAUGUAUGCGAGCAAUGUAACUGUACAUUUUGCAGAUGCUUCUCCCCCUUAGCAUUAAUUUCAUUUCAUUAAUUUCAUUUGGCUUUCCUUACAAGAAGAAUUCACACUUGUAAAACAGCUUCCAUCUGUCUCAUCAUCUUAUUUAAGAUGCAGAUGCAGACAGACAAGUCACUGUCAAAUCUUCACAAAAAAGUAGCAUAAACUGCAGUUUAGGAAAUCAUCUCCACAGUCUAUGGCACAAGGAUGCUCAUCUCUCCUUUUCUGCUUUUUCUUUCUCCUCGUAAGGCCAUGUUGUACUGUUUGAGCUCUCCUACCAGCUUCUGUUCCCCCAUCCUUCUCCUCCCCCUCUUGCUUGCCUGACUAUCCCAGUCAUAAUUCUCUUGUGCUCUUGUUCAAAAUGAAAUAGCCUGUUCUCUUCUCCCCUGUUUUGCUGGCAAGUUCUCCAGGCUUCUGAUCAUUUUCUUUGCCUGGCCAUGCUUCCUCCUCCUCUUCUACCUACUUCAUUUUAGUUCAUUGCACUUCUUUUCCUUUUGUUUCAUUUUUAAGGCAAUACAGCCCAACUCAAACACAAUAUUCAAGGUGAGAGCAUAUCAUUAAAUGAUACAAUGACAUUAUGCUACUUUCAGCUUUAUUCUCAUGAAUUCAGUACAAUAUGACUUCCUUUGCUUUUGUGACUGCUGCUGUGAAUCUGGAAGAUAUUUUCAUGGAGGUGUCUACAUUUGCACUCCGAACUUAAGAAUUUUAAUCUAUCAAAGGGACUACUGUAGGCAGCUUGGAGAUGUAGUUCAAUGCUCUUCAUUCUUUCUACGGUAGCACUGGGGAAAGCUCUGUGAACAUCCUAGGUGGAAGGUUAUUCUGGGGAAUGGUGCUGGUUUGAUGUCUUUUUUUUUCUUGGUUGCUUUUGUUUGGUUGGUUGGUUCGUUGGUUUGGUUUGUUUUAUCCAUGUUAGGGAGUCAGAGCUCAAGGGAAGAGGGAUUCCUCAUUGCUACUGCAUUAGUCUGGGUCUAAACUCAGCUCAGUUCCAUGUUCUGGCACCGAUGGAUAUUGCUUCAGUUGCUUUGCCUCACUGGGCUUCUAUUAUCCAUCAACAAAUCAACUUUUCCUAAACUCAAAGAGAAGCCUUAAGGCAGUGUGGUGCAAUUCUGCAUUUGGUGAAAAUAUGAAAUCUUGCCUUGGUUCAGUUUCUCAAGCAAUUUCUGAACUGUGAUGCUAAUAGCCCAUUUAUUCUGCAUCUGUAAGGGUAAAUUUUAUUCCCAAAGCAUCAGAACAUUAUUCAUGCUGCCUGCUGAGAGUAGGCCGUGGUUUGUACAGCCUCAUACUCUCUGCCCAAGUGAUGGCUGGGAGAACCUAGGUCAAACUGAGAUGUGUGUCGAACUGUGGCUGACAAUUAGUGGUGUGAUGCUCCCAGGACAGUUCUUGAGUCUAUCCCUGGCAUACUUCAUUUUACUAUUUUCAUAUUGUCCUAUAGUGCUUUUGGGCAGUGAGAAGGAUUGCUUUUGCAGGAGCACCUUGAUAUGGCCAUGUCCAACCAGUUCAAGUCAACAACAUCUUCUGGCCUUGUCAGAGGGAUGUGGACAAACCUGGGCUGCUGCUCUGAAAACCUCUGUGCCCUGGCUUAUCUUUCCUUCCUUGCAAUCAUGCCUCUUUCCAGAAUGUGCUGUGGGAUUUCUUUUUGUGUGAUAGAAUGCUGUGGGAUGUACAACAUAGACAACAUGGGCACAGUAGAGGCAGCUUGAGGGUCGACACUGUGAUGUGGACAGGGCACUACUGAGGGAACUGACUCUAGGGCUGGCCUCAGAAGCAACUGCUCUGUGAUAUGUUAAGAUAUAUUAAGCCCUUCUUUUGGGUUAGGGAAAUAAGAGGCAGGAACUCAUUACAUGGCCUAAAUUAAUCUUAAUGAAUUCCUAAUAACCAUCAAUGGGCAAGGGUUAUUAUUUGGGAAGAUUAGCAGGAGUGUGUCGAGUUCUGCCUGGUGAGACAGAAGGUAACAUGUCUUAGGCCUGUUCAAAGGAAAUUGAGGUUUCCAGGAAAUUACAAUGUUGUGGUCCAGUGGAAGCAGCAGUGAAAAUCCGGAUAUCCUGUGGCUGGAAGAGCUAAAAUUUCUUCAUGCAUAAAGCAAAUCUACAUCUUCAAGGCCCCUUCCAAUCCAGGCAAUUCUGUGAUAAGCUUUGGCCUUUUUUCUUUUAAAGAACUUGGAGUCUGCAACCCUGUAUUCCCAUUGACAUUUUCAAUAUGUAAAGGCAAAUGUCUGCUAACUGCACAUCUGUCAGAGAGAUCAAGUCCCAUCACAGGAGCUUUGGCCUGUGUUCACUCCUUGAAAGUGACAAUAGGGAGGCACAGUAGCACCAUGUAAAUGUGGACAUUUGAAGUUCUUAAAUUCAUUUCCCUUUUCAAACCUACUCUAUAACCUCCCUCUCACUGUGUGUUAAACCUGUCCCCACAGCAAGCAGAUUUCAAGUGUGAGCAUCCGUUUUACCCUGGCUAGCAUGUGCAAUGAAAACCUUAUCACAGCCAAUUAUUUAGGUCUUCACUGAGCUUUCCUGGCUACUUCAAGCAGUUUGAGUACAAAGUUUGUAUAAAAUGCUUCCCUUCAUUGCUCCCAUUCCUUGUUACCUGUUAGGCUAUUUUAUUAUAUCAUCUUCAUGAUGAAAAUCAGUAGUGAUAUAGAAACAUGGGAAAUUUGUGCAUCCUGCAGACUCUCAAGACAGUCAGAGCAGUGAGAUUCUUGUUUUCCUCAAUUUGUGGAUUUAAGUAUGCUGGUUUUAUCAGAAUAUGCAUCAACAGUGCUCUUAUGGGCCCACCAAUGGAGGAAAGCUUUUUUAGUAAAAAUCCUCUCUAAAUCAGUAGAAUAAGAAAAGAUAGCUAUCCAUAUCUACAAAUUCAGAAACAGAGAAACCCAAAAAAGUCCCAGUGAGCAGUAUGAAGAUCUUAUUUUGAGGAACAGACUUGCAUACACAUAUAACGUAAUUCAUGGACACUGCUGACCACAUUUCGAGCCUUGCAUGCUUUCUGUGUCUACAGGCAGGAUGCAAGAAUUGGUCCCUGUGGUUGGGACAAUGACCCAGCAUUCUCAACAGGAGGGAAACAAGAUUCAGUUGAAUUGAAAACUGUUGUUUGUAAGUGGGAAGCAUUUAUAGAAAUGCAGCAUGGAAAAAAAAACAAAACAAAACAAAAAGGCAAUUUCCUGGGGAAAGUAAUGUAGGAAAAAAGAAUAGAAAAGAAAAAAUUACUGAUUUCUUUUGAAAUUGGUUGAAGAUGGUAUCUGUACCUAGACCUGUGCAUGUGCAUAUGUUUAUUUAUCUGUUUGUCUAGCCAUCUUUUCACAUGCAACCUAUAUCCUCCUCUAAAAUUAACUUUUUUUUUUUUUCUCUUACACAAGUGGCCUUUAACAGUCUCUAUUGAAGGUGAGGAGGUGAGUGGUGGGAAUGCCAGGCAAUUCUCUGCAGCCAUACCUGGGAAUGCAAAUGCCUUCCCAACAGGAAGGUUUGAUAUGGUUGGUUGAGAAUACUGACAGAUUAUAAACUACUUUUUAACCAUGGGAACAGCCCCGUUAAACUGCUCAUAUCUCCUACAUCCUUUUACUGUAUUCACCAAAAAAAAAAACACUUUUCAAGUCAGUAGUAUUUGUGGGGAAGAACAUGUGGCUUGUUCAUUUACUACUGUGACUUGGGUGUUUUCUCCUGAGUAUUUCUCUUUUUGAGCUCCACUAUCGCAAUUGCAGGAACUGAUAUCUUUCUCUGCUGGAUUUAAUUGCAGUGUUUCCAUUUGAGUAGAUGGUCAGAUUAAACAGAAGAAGAAUGCAUUUCAGCAGCAGCCAGAGUUGCACAUGAUUAGAAGCAAUAUGAAGAAUGUAUUUACUCCAGAGCUUCCCCUUCCCCAGCAUUCCACUUGAACACUGAUUCCCCCAUCCUAUAUCCCCCCUCUUAUUUUAGAAUAGUUCCUAUUUCUCAUUUCUCCCUAUUUUUCCCUCUCCCUUUGCCACCAUUAUGUAAAAGCAAAAGUUAUAUAAUUAUUUUUUUGAGAAGUAAUCCUAUUUUUAGAGUAGUGUGGGCUAUAGCGUGCAAAAUAAGCAUGUGAAAAUACAGCAAAUGGAGUGUAGAAAGCAGAAUAAAAAUGAUACAACAUCAUCCAGUUUAUCCAUUUCUUUCUGAAAUAGGUAAUUACUGUCUUUAGCUGCCAUUGGAAGCUCCCAGUUAAUACAGAAAAUGAAAUCCUAGAAAGAAAGAGGUUGUUAAACCACAGGUUGCUUCACUCUGAUUUCUUAUCCUAAUCUUCAUUUACUUCUGAAAAACAUGCAAUUUUUCUAACUUCUUAGAGACCUCGUUUUAAUAGUCAAAUACUUCGGCCCAGACCUUUAAUUUUUACAAGAUAUAAAAAGUUAUUUUAUACCCAACUGCUUACACAUUUAAGCCUCUGCAUCCCUCAGCUAGUUUUAGUGCUACUCUGACAAUGAAAAGGGCUAAUUCAAGAUCUAUUCUUACAUUUAUAGCAUCGUAAAGAAUGUUCAGAGUAAAGACUUCAUUUGCAUAUAUCAUAAAAAAUAAACAAAAUAAUUUGCAUAAAAGACUGUGCACAUAGCAGUGCUUUGACCAAAUGGAGAAUCUUGGGAAAUAUCUUUGUAAGAUGAGAAAGCGGAGGGGGAAGAGAAGAUGACUUACCAAAUGUAGGAAGGCUUUUAAUGGGUGGGAUGCUCUGUUUCUUUAUAUUCCUAAACCCUUUCCCACUUCGCAGUUUUAAGGCAGACAAGAGCUAUAAAGAUCCCUGGGAAUCCCUUGAGAGGCGUUGUGUGACAACUUCAGGGAUUCUCUGCAUUGAAAGCGGUUAUCUGUGCAUCAGUGCUGUCAGGUCCAGGGUUGUACAGGUCUGGCCAAAACCUGAGAGGAAUCCCAGUGAUCAGUCAUGCAUAUUUAUUAUGCAUUUUUAAUCCUCUUUGUCUACAUGCCAGAUUUCUCUCUGGUAUGAUUCAAUGUUGCUGAAGUCAGUAGCCUGCAGUGGAGGUACACAGAUUUAUUGUGUGAGGGGAGAAUCUAGAUUGGUGGCAUAGCCAUAUGGCGUGAUGCAGGGACCAUUUAGGAUUUACUGCAUUUUUACACAUAUAACAUGAGAAAAUAACCCUGACAGCAUCAUAGCCAUGUUUGCAUCCCUUUGUACUGCCAUAUCUGCCUUUAUUCGGGAAAACAAUUUCACUUCAUGUUUUAAUUACUUCUGUUUCAUAGAAUCAUGGAGCCAUGAUAGAAUCAUAGAAUGGCUUGGGUUGGAAUGGAUCUCCUAGUUCAUAUUUGAUGAAGGAUGCUCUACUUGACUGACUAUCUCCUGAUUGAGGUCCAUGGCUAAACUCCAUGAGUUUCAGCUCCUCAAGUUUACAUAACUUUAACUGAAUCAUAGAAUCAUAGAACAUCUUAGGUUGGAAGGAAUCUCAAAAGUCAUCUAGUUCCAACUUCUGCCAUGAUUAGGGAUGCCACCCACAAGAUGAGGCUGGCCAGGGCCCCAUCCAACCUGGUUUUGAACGUCUCCAGGAACGGGGCAUCCACAGCUUCUCAGGGCAGCUUGUGCCAGUUCCUCGCUACCCUAUGUGGAAUAAAAUUCCUCCUGAUACCUGAGCUGUAUCUCUAAAUCUCUCCAGUCUUACUUAAAAGCCGUUUCUCCUUGUUCUUUUGCUAUCUGUCCAGAUAAAAUGUCAGUCUCCCUCCUGUUGAUAAGCUCCCUUGAAGUACUGGAAGGCCCCAGUGAGGUCUCCCAGGAGGCUUCUCCAAGCUAAAUAAACCAAACUCCCUCAACCUUUCUUCACAGGAGAGGUGCCCCAGCCCUCUAUUCAUCAGGCUUUUCAAGCAUUGUUCUACAUGGACCUUGUCUUAAACCAAAUAGAAAGCCAGAAAAGCAGGAAGUUAAAAGCUCCAUGAACUACCUUCUUGAAGGUUUUAAAAGUACUUGGCCACUUUCCUUCUAUGAGGCUUUGAUUGUAACACCCUAGAUCUUCACAGUUUCCUGUAUCUUCCAGUAGGCUUUAGGUUUCUGUGACUAAACUCUCUCUUUUGUGAAAUAAGGGUUGUCAGAGACUACAUUGCAGACAGAGACUGUGCAGAAGGUGCUGUCUAAAUAGUUUGGAACGACAGGUUGUGAAAGCUCAGGAGAGCAGCCUAAAGAGUCACUACAUCCAGCUAAAGAUUGUAAAGCAAAAUUGCUAUUUGGAUGGAAGAGUCCUGUUCGAGUCCUAUGCCUGAGUAGCUAGGUUAGUGCUAGGGUGACUAGCAGGUGCACUGAAGAAAACCACAGAAUCAUAAAAUUACUUGGAUUGGAAGGGAUUUAAAGACCAUUGAAUCCUAUCUCCUCUGCUGUCUACAGGGUUACCAGCCACUAGAUCAGGCUGCCCAGGGUCCCAUCCAAUCUGGUUCUGAAAUAAUUCAAUCCACACCAGGAUUUCACAGUCCUCUGUCCCUGCCCUCAUGCAGAGGUUAAUGGAUCCAUGAACUGCUUACCUGUGGACUGUUUUGAGAAGGUAGCUCACUAUAAGUGCACCUCUAAUAUUCAUCUUUGCCCAAAAGAUCACUGCUCCUGUGAGCUCCCUAUGGACUCAAGGAAGGGAAAACUGCUGUCUGCAUCAUCAUCAGCUGGAAUUUUUCACCUAUAUUUUAUAGGUUUAAUCCAUAGUAAAGCUGUGAUCAUGUCUUCAUAUUUCUGUAGCUUUAGAAAUCUGUGGGUUAUUAUGCAGUAAAAAUCACACAGCAAGCACUCUGCAAGAGUAAGGGUAGUAUUGUUGUCCUGUCCCAAAUCUUCAUGUAGAGGCUUCUCCUUUCCACCUUUUGUCCUCCAAUUUAAGUGAAGGGAGAUGUGCUGCUCUUCUGAUGAUGGGACUAUGAAAUUAGUUUCACACACAACAGAGAAUUUAAACAUAGAACAAAAGUGGUGGAGUCACCAUCCCAGAGGUUUUCAAGAGAUGUGUAAAUGUGGCAAUGGGGGACAUGGUAUAGUGGACAUGGUGGGGAUGGGCAGAUGGUUGGACUAGAUAAUCUUAGUGGUCUUUUCCAAUCUUAAUGAUUCCAUGAUUGAAACACAGCAAGCUUAAUUUGGUGUCCAGUAUAUGCCACUCCGUUUUAUAUAGGCCAACAGUUCUGUGUCUAGAAGUUGAAAUAUUGCAUGCUUUUAGGAUGGUUUUGUAGCAAGUUUGGUACCUUCUCAGCUCUGAAAUGGAAUUCCCUUGUUGCCAGUUGAUAGCAGCAUGGUACAGAGAAUGAGAUGGUUGGCUUGGAAAUGAUGCUGUUAACACCAGCUCGUAAUUUAUACCAUAUUACACAGCAGGGCAGGAGCAGCUAACGCAGUGCUACCUAAGUAAAUAGUCAUUUAUGUUGCUCCGAUUAAAACCUUUGGAAGUAUUUCCAGCAGAGUAUAUAGCACUAAUGAAUCUCAUUAUUCCGAAUUGCCAUGCAGAGCCAAGUGUAUGGGGGGACUUUGUCAGGUAGCCCUUUGCAGUCACAGAUCUUGGGGAUGUAACAGCAUGGACAUAACUUGCACCACAAAGAAGAAACAUACUCUGUGAUGAGACCUUGCAAAGUCAGUCUGCUGUGAUGCAGCAUCCCUCCAUCCUCCUCUGAUGCAGCAUCCAGCUUUCCUCUUUCUCCCCAGCUUCACUUUUUACCAUCUGUUCUCACAUUCUUCUAUUUUCAGGAUUAAGUUUGCUCUGCAUUUUUUCCCUUCUUUUUUUUCUUUCUUUUUUCUUUCCCCUGAUUAUGCUGAAUUAUACGAGAGAAACAGAAGAUAAGAAUAUCCAAAAUAAUAGAGCAAUAGAGAUCAUCCCUCGCCCAGUUCUCCUGGCUUCUUCACUACAGAUAAGACAGAAACGAUCAAGUCAAAUAAGAUCAGUUUGUGAAGUUUCUAUCACUUUCUUCCAGCUCUUCACCUUAUUAAUAUUGAAGCCGUUGCACUCUAUAAUCUCGUGCGUUAGCUUUACCCAGGCACGCUGCUCUGGUGCUGAUUCGUUUAUUUUAAUCAAAGUUUCGCCUCCUGAUAUUUUUCCCUGUCUAGGCUGGAACAGAGAAAAUGAAAUUUCAACAAAACACACACACACAAAUCGUUAAUAUUUGACCUCUGGAACAAGCUCAUUUAUUAAACAUUUUUUCAUCCCUUUGGGGUAUUCAGAGGCAUAGUUUCUUUGUGUGUUACUUUGGCAGUAAUACUAGAGCGUUUCCCCAUGGGCUUCUCUAAGUGAUCUCAAGUGUACACUAAUAGCCCUUUGCCUUUGGCUUUCAUGAGUAGAGCACACACUUAGUCACAGGAUCCCCUUUGGGUGAUGGGAUUUUUUUUUGGUGGGGUAUUUUUUUAUUCUAGAUAUUUUCUGGGUUCUGUUUUUUUUGUUUUUUUUUUUUUUUUCUUUGCAGCUUACAAGAAGACAGAUUGUUUCAGUGUGAAGUAUAGUAGCCUUCUACUGCAGCUCUGGAGCUUUUAACAGGUAUAGCCAGUCCUUCAUAGUCUGUGACAUCGAGGAGAGAGGUCAUCCAAUCAAGCGUGAGCAUCUGUGUUAGGGUACUAAAAGCAGAGCCUCUGCAGAACUGACAGUCUCUCAAUUUACUUGACCUUCUGUAGUCAUUCAAGAGUUUAAGCUCCAACAAGAGUAUUCUUAAGGAGCCCACUUGGAUAUUUGAACUCUAUUUUGGACGCUGGAAACUCAUUUUCAGUUGAUGAAAGGUGCCACCUAUGUUCUGCACAUCUUGGGAAAAGCUCUUUACCACUGCCUGAAUAUUUACAUUGCCAAUUGAAGCUACAACUUCUCUGAUUCAUCAUGUUUGUUCUCUAAUUGUAUCGUAAUCUCUCUGGGGGAUGUGUGAUUAGAUGACACAUUGUGUAGAAAGAAAUGGUGAAGUCAGUUUAGAAUUAGUUAACAUACAAAUCUAAAAUCAAACAAGAUCUGAGUAGGUUUUUUUUUUUUUGCUUUUUUUUUUUUUUUUUCUGGAAGAAGGAUAACAUUAGUAAUGGAAUUUUAGUUCUUCCUGUUUUAGUCUAAUCAGGCCUCAAGAAGUUCAUGGUAAACUAUGAUCGUGUCUAAGUCAGUUGAAAUGCCGACCUGCACAGGCACCAGUCAAUAUUUUAUCCAGGCAAUAUCUCCUGUUUGAAGAAGAUUUCCCCACUGACUGAUUGCUUCCCUAUUGAGGAGGGAAAGAACACUCCAUGAAAUUCAGUCCCCCAGGUUGUCAUAACAUCGUUUGAAUUUCAGGAUUUGCCUUUUGAAGGUGGGAUCAAAAUACCUGCUCCUUUGAUAUCUUGAGAAUUGGCCUAGAGCUGGGCAGAAAACAGUGGUAUUAUAAACUGCAAGUAAGAAACAUGGGAAAUGCUAGCUAGGGCCAGUGCUCCAUCUUUUAAAGGAUACAUUCUCUGAGCUUUGUUUGGGAUUCAGGAACAAAAGGCUUUUAUUAUUGGAAGGCUUACGUAACUUUAGCAUUCCUUCUGAGGAAGUGGCUGCAUUCUAUAGUGUGUGCUAUGCAGAGGUACUUGAGCAAAUUUGGGCAAGAGGAGAAGUACAGCAUUUUCUCUGAUGCAAGAGAGCUCACUCACCUUUGUACCUCUGCAUCAAACCACUCUUUUCUGAAGAACAAUUUCACAUGAUUUAGAAGUAUCUGAAUGAGUCCAAGUCAGUGGGGUUCAGUCUGUAAUGUCAAUAGAGAAUCAGAGACAAAAAGAGAAUUCUUAAGACACCGUAACAAAACAACAUAAAUAUCUCCUUCUAUCUGUGUCCUUCUCUCACUUGUCCAUGAUCUGUACUGAUGCAUGUCUUCAUAUCCUGUUUUGUUUUCCUACUUGAGCAACACUCUCCCAGAAACAAUCAACCAUUUUUUUUUUCCUUGCUUGGAGGGAAGAAUUUAGCCUCAGCUGUUUUAGUUAAAGGGAAAAAGAUUUUGCAGAAUCCUUACUAAAGAUUUUUGUCCUUUUCCGAGACAAAGAACAAAGAAGUUUUUGCUAGAAUUUCUUUUGCUCACAGAUCAACCUAGUCUUUUUCUCCUUGUUUUGGUUUGUUUUCUUAACAAGAAGAGUUCUGUUAUUAAUUUUCCAUCACAUCUAUUUGCAGAAUUAUUCCACUUUUCAUGCACUUCAAUGUCUUAAGCACUAACCAAAUUCCUUGCUGAUCUAUGUAUGUGAGAUGACUGCGUAAAGAAAAGAAGAAAUGUAAUAACUAUUGAGUGGAAUGUUUCCAGCCUUUAAUCUGGCAUUGAUUUAAGCCUCACUUUGAAAAUGGAACUGAAGAAAUGUAAAUGAAUUUGCUUACAUAAAUAUCACUUUUUAUUAAAAGUGAUAAGCUAGGUCUGGGAAAAACAUUUUAUGUAAUUCUUCUUUUGCGAGCACUGGAACAGGCUGCCCAAGGCAGUGAGCAAAGCCCCACACUUCUGGAGCUCAAGAAGCUUUUGGACAACUCUCAGACAUCAGUUUGGAUUUUGGGUGGUCCUAUAUGGAGCCAUGAGUUGGACUCAUUGAUCUUUGUGGAUCUCUUCCAACUCAAUAUGUUCUGUGAUUCUUUGAUUCUUUGUUAAUUCUUGCCUGGGUAGGCAUGACAGUUUGUAAGUGACAGAAUCAUAGAAAGGUUAAUGUUGGAAGAUCUUAGCAGCUUGUAAUGAGUAACAGCAGAAAACUUUGCAAGACCUUGGUUGACACCAGGUUGAACAUGAGUCAGCAAUGUGUCGCUGCUGCUAAGUAGGCUGGUGGUAUUCUUGGCUAUAUUAGCAAAGUAUUGCCAGCAGGUCAGAAGAGAUAUCCUUUUCAACUACUCAGCAUUGGUGGGGCUGCAGUUUGAGUCCUGUGUCCAGUCCCGGGUUCUCCAGUACAAGAGAAACCUGGACAUACUGGAGAGUUUCCAGUGAAUGGCCACCAAGAUGAUGAAGGCACUGGAGCAUCUUUGCUUUGAGGAGAGACUGAGAAAUUGAGGACUGCUCUGCCUGGAGAAGAGGAGGCUCAAGGUGAUCUCAUCAAUGCUCAUAAAUACCUGAAUGGAGGUGCAAAAAAGACAGAGCUGCAUUCUUUACAGUGGUGCCCAGUGCCAGGGCAAGGGGAAACAGGCACGAACUGGAACCCAGGAGAUUGCCUCUGACCUUCGGAAAGCACUUCUGUGCUGUGUGGGUGACAGAGCACUGGCACGGGUUGCCCAUGGAAGUUGUGGGGUCUCCUCCCUGGAGAGAAGGCAGCCUGAACGUGGUCCUGGUCACCCUGCUUUGGGUGUCCCUGCUUGAGCAGAGGUUGGACCCAAAGGUCCCUGCCAACCUCAGCCAUUUUGUGGUUCUCUGAACCUGUGAAAACAAGUGGGAAUAUAAUGAGGGACAGAGACAUGCUUCCCACCUCAACUUUGAGACCUGCCAUGCCCUGGCUGAGAGGGGUCUACAGUGCCUGGAUCCACACCCUGGCAUGGUUUGAUGACUUCCAUCCAUACUGAGGAAUGGUGAAGUCCUCUCAGUUUUCCUUUACAUUAGGCUGACCUUUCUCACUCUGCUUUUUCCACCUGUUUCAUUGUAAGUGCUUCAGCAACUAUGUUUUAAUAAUGGAAUGAAUGUAUUUGUUCAGUGUCUGCUGUUCCAGACCCCCUUUUCCUGGCCUAUAAGUACUACCAUAAGCAUGAUUAACAAUAUUUAUUAUAAGUACACAUUAUAUUAUGCAUUUUAUGAGGUUUCUACAAAUCCAUGGUCUUUAAAACAAGCAUUUCCACUAAAAUUCCACGUAGGACAAAAUAAUGUGAGAAUUAGUAGACUGCAGCACCAAAAAAAGAGGGUUUUAUUUUUCAAUAACACUUUAUUUUCUACAGAUAGAGUCACAAGAGAUAUUUUUUUUAUUUGGCUACAACUGCUCUCACUGUAAUUUUCCACUCAUCUGUCUUCUGAGAGGUGAUACAUGGUUUGUGUGUAGAAAAGUCACAACCCUCACCACCAGGUUUGCAGCUGUUUCUGAGAUGGAAACCAAAGGCUUUUAAUUGAAAUAUAAUUUCAUGCUGAAAUUGUUCUCUGGAAACUGUAGGUCAAAAUCACAUGGUGGUAUGUUAUCUAUUUCUGUGUAAUCUCUUCUUACAUACAUCCAGUUUCUAAGCCAGAUUGAAAAAUAUUUACUUGUAUGAUAACAUUCAAGAGUUUUUAGAUAAGGAAAUCAAGCUGAUGUAUGUAAAAAUCAGUAAGUGCUUUGAUAUAUUAUCAUGUGGAAAGUUAGUACUUAUUUUGGAAAAGCUAGUGAUUACAGGAGAAACUUAAAAGUGGGUAAGGCACUGAUUUAGGGAGAGGUGAUAAGAUAUGAUCAGUAACUGCUGGAUUUGAAGCUGGUAGUACUAGCUGGGACUAAUCUUAUUUAAUAUUUUCAUAUUAUGUCAUUUUACAUUGCCGCACAGUGAGGAGAUAUUGGGAAUUCUGAUGAAGAUCAAGGUAUCACUGAGGAAGAAUAGUUUCAUCCAUGUUAGUGAAGCAGCAAAUACAUUUCCUAACAGAAAGUACCAGGUUACUGACUUAAGGACUGAUACUUUCCACUGCAAAACAGUACUUCAUCAGUUGAAAGCAAGAAAGUGUGCGUACCAUGAUAAGAAUAUAUUAUUAAUCAGCAGAAUCAUGAAAACUCAUAUAUGGCCAUAAGGUGUGGCAGGCAAAGUUUUUCUAGCUCUAAGGAGGGAGCAUUGCCAUUACCAUCUCACCAUGAGGAUAUUAGUGUAUCAUAUAACAUUCUGUGUUGCAGAAGUUCAGGUAAGAGCAGUGCUUAGCAGAGGUACCAAAAGGAUGAGAAGACUGGGGAGAUGUCACCUGAAGGCUAGCAUAUCAAAUAUAUAUGGCACCAUACCGUAGAAGAAUAAAGGCUGGGAGAAACUAUGUAUCCCUAAGAACAAUAAUAUCAUAAGAUCAAACAGGUAUAACUUAUCUACAAAUGAAUGUAAGCUAAACUUGGAUAGGGACUAUCUAGGGGAAACUAUCUGUCUGUGGUUCAGUUGAAGCUGAUUAGCUUGUCAUCAGGGAUUAAAAUGUGGUUGCUGGCAGUAUCAGAACAGGGCACCUAAAUAAAUGAAGUUCUAAAUAAACAUUAGGAACAAACACACUUGGAAAGAAGUGUCUCAGUCUCCUGUCUCAUAUGCAUAACUCUGCUUGGCUCUUGAAGGAUGUGAUUCGGUGGGCAUGUUGGUGAUGGGUUGAUGGUUGCUUUUCCAACCAGGUGGUCUUUUCCAACCUUAAUGAUUCUACAAUUCUGUGAUGCUAUUCUGCUACUGUGACAGUAUAACUCAUAUUGGUUUAGAGGUACCUGAGACCAUUUGUUGGAUUCUUUCUUAAAAGUUUCACUCCUCUAUGUAUUUGAAGUAACAUUGUCUAAUGAUGUUAAGUACAGUAAGAUAGCCAACUAGUAGGAUCACGCACCACAGUUCCCUUCAGGAAGGGGUGAUUGCUCCCAAUAAUUCAGGCCGGUGCCGUCUGCCUAAUAUUUUACUUUGAAAUGUUCACAGCUACUGAGAAUUUUCAAUCUGUUCCACCACCAGCUGUUCUCAAACCAGCCUAGAGAAAACAUAGCUCACACAUAGUGGGCUUUAGGUUAUGUUAGGUUUGUUUCUUUGUGUGAUAAAGAAGAGGUACUUUUAGUAAGAGAAUCUAACAUCUUUUUGUUCUUUGUAUAAUUUAUUACUUUAAACAUUCAACUUACUUUCAACACUGUCAUAUCUGAGUCUUUAGUGUUUAGCAGAGUUAUCUCUGUGUAUUUUCCAGACUUUCAUAUAAUCUGAUUAAUUGGGAUUUCGGUGCAUUUUACCUGUGCAUUUAUGUCCCAUGGAUAAUACUUAAAGGAAGGCCAUUUAUUUUAUUUAACAAUGCAAUUACAAAGGUAUCUUGUUUACUACAUUAGUGUCCACAUCCACAUCAGACUUGUCUUCAAGAGAAUAUCAUUUGUCUCAUUCAGGACCUGUAACUUCAUACCUCAGUAAUUCUGUACUAUCACAUAAGUAACAUUACUGGGAUCUCUAUUACAUGGAGACACCAGGUGACUUAGGGAAAUUUAAUACCCUGGCAUUUUCAGCUGCAAAGCACUUGGUCCUUUUAUUAAUCAAGGCUCCAGAGCCUUAUCUGCCUCCUGAUUAAAGAUUUCAGCAAAAGGGAAUAGUGCAAGUUUUAAGUACAGUAUUUUUAAUUAGAGGCGAAUUCAGGAUAUCACUUUGCAUUACUUCUUCAGUAGGUAUAAUUAAAGAGCUGAUCUGUAAAGAGCUCACUUGAAAAAAAAAAAAUACUAUUUUUUAAAUCCUAGCAGCCUGCUCUUAGAAAAUGAACCAGAAGAAAUAGGACAUAAAAUCUCCCCCUUGGAAAUGUUCAUGGGAAACGUCUUGUGGUCACUGUUGUCACCUGAAGACUGAACAUCUUUAAGAAAGUCAGGUUCAGUCACACUAUGCAGUAUAGAAAGGUUCACUCACACUAUCUUCAAGUAUGAUAGAAAUAUUUGGAGAAUCACUCUGAUUUAAGGAGUUUAUGAAUUCCUGUUAAGAACCGGAGGAUUUGCUGUACUUAACAUUUACCAACUAGAUACGAUAUGUUUAGUUUAAAUUAAGUUACCUAGGCAAUAAAUGGAGAGAGAAAGAGUCCUCCAGUUAGAGAUUAAUCCCAUUCUGAGAUAAGUGUUUGAGACUGGUUACUGAUACAAAUUAUGCAAUGCACCACACAUGGCAGCUAGGCUCCCCAAAGGCAUUUGAGGCGGCAGAGAAAGAAAAGUCUGUAUAACCAAAAAGGUUAAGUGACUGAAUGCUUUAGAAGCUCAGUAAAGAAAUAUGUUUCAUCUGCAAUCAGAAGCCUCUCUGGCUUGCAUGUUUAAUAAUUUCUGCAGUUUUCUUCGGACUGGAGCUUCCCAGAGAUAUUUCUCCUGUUGUCAUUCAUUGGUUUAUUCCAGUCGCACUCUUCAAAGAUGAAGCAUAUUUAUUUUGUGUGGUGUCCACGUUGAUAAGGACAUCAUCAUGAUGCACAAUCUAUGAAGAAAGGGUGUAUGAUACAGAACUUGGAUGGAAAAUUUCUCGAAUGUUGUAUAGAUUUUAGCUGAGUUAAUUUAUUUAAAUAUUAUGAGUCCAUUAUCAUGGGAAGCAUCUGCUCCAAAAUAAUGUUAUUUUGCUAAUAUGCUUACUCUUCCUUCCUGCAAAUUUAUUUUCUGUUACCUGCAUGGUGCUGACUGGCUUGAACUUGAGUUUUAGGAACCAUCACGGGAGUUUUGAGUCCUACCCAGUAUAUAACUGCAAUAGUCUUCUAUGGCUAGAGGAAAUACUAGUUCAGUAUAGCCUUGCAGUCAGGUUAGAGCAGCUGAAAAAGCUGUCACAUCUCACCUUCCAAUUAACACUUUUAAGAUGAGAUACUAUAAAUGAACAUGUUGGUGUUCCAACUGUGAGUUUGUUCCAGCACCAGGGACAGCACCAGAGGCAGCAUUCUAGCUGAGGAAGCUUGAGUAGGACCCAGGACACAGUAAACCCCCUGAUUUGUGAGAAGAACAUGUCAGAUUACAGUAUAGCUAUUCCUUAAUGGAUGCUCACAGGAUACCUGAGAUGUCUGAAGGCGCAGACAUGGAGAAUACCAGAGCAACUCAGUUGGAUAUAUUCUGGAUGUAAGUAAAUGAACAGCAUUGAAAUACUGUAAACCAGGGAAAGCUUGCUUGGGAAUAAGCCACAACUAUCACUCUUUGCAGUGAGCAUUAGCAGUAAAAUGAAAGCACACAUGAGCUUCAAAGAAAGGUAUUCUGUUGCUUAGAGCCAAGCUCAAGCUGUGGUUCUGAAAUUUGUAUUUUGAACUCCUAGCACCAUGUUUUAAGGCUGCUGUAAUGCAAUGCAAUAUACUGGUUGACUAAAGAUAUGCACUUGUUAAAAACUGGCUGGAUUGACUUCAUCAUGACAAACUAUAUGACAGCUAGGUGUUGUCUCCCUGUCAUUUUAUCUUUCUGCUGAAGUGGAUAUUAAGAUAGCAUGGACUCCAUUUUACAGAAUCACUUGACAGAAAUAUGAUGACAUUCAGACUUGGCUGGUGAUCCACUAGUUCAUAUCUGCUCUUGAGGUGUGUGAGAUCACAGUCUGACUUUCUCUUCCUCAUCAAUAGCAAAAAGGGGCUAUAUAGGAAGGCUAAAGGGUACACAAGGUUACUGCAGAUAUGAGUGAAAAACCAACCUAAUUACAUCAAACACUCAUGCUGCUGGCAGUUGCUGAGGCUCAGGUACUGAAUUUCUUUGGGAGAAUUGUCCCUACAGGUGUGGAAAAUAAUAAUUUAAAUCCUAUAAUCUUUAUUAUAAUUUUAUUUUAUUUUUCAGUGGAAAUAGUUAAAUGACUAAAAUGAACCUCAAUGAACCUCAACAAUCCAGCUAAGAAAAAAGGUAAAGGAAAGAACAUUACCUUACCAGGACAAGUGGCUCCAUAGGCAACCAUUCCCUUUCAGUUUACUAAAAUUAUUUUAAGCGAAACAGAAUGAAACCUGCAGGAAAUAAAAUGUGGAUAAGAAUGCACUGAGAAAGUACAGUAUUGGAUCAAGAAACGUAUCACAUUUGGUUGAUUUUUUUUAGGGUUUCUGCAUAGGGUUUUUCUAUUUAUGGAUUUGAAGACUUGAUUUUCUUCAUACAGUUUCAAUGUUGGUGGAGCACAGUAACAGGGAAAGCACAUGAUGAUAUAUCCCUAAUACCACUUCCCAGCACUUAAUGCUUCCUAGCUCAGGCACUUUCUUAAGCAGAGAUAUUAUCUGUGUGCUUAAUGCUCUGUGGUGGAUUUAUAUAUAUAUAUAUAUGUGUGUGUACGUUUUCCUCUGUAAUUUUGUGAUUUUUCUUCUCACAUUUUGUAUUCAGUCAUUUUGCAUCUACUGUCUUCCACAGUAAUGAUGUCCACAAUCUAGUUUCAGGCAGAAAGAGGAAAAAGAAAUAUUUCCUUGUAUUUAGACUUGCCAUGUGAUACUUGCAUAUGAUGGUCCACAAUUCCCAUAUCAGUGAUCAUCUAUUAAGGGAAAAACAAAUAAACAAAAUAAAAGCAACAACAAAAUAAAAUGAAUACACUAAUAAAUUUAAAAAAUACAAGAAAAUAACACUUUAUGUAAAAGGAAUAUAGAAAGGAGCAAAUCUGGAGGUAUAGAUAGUAUUAAAGUGAGCUGGCCUUCAUCCCAGCUUGUGAAGCUGAGGCACUAGAAGAGGAGUAGCAAAGGGUGGCAUGCUAUAGUAUUUCUGUCUGUGGACCAUUGAUAAAGAUGUUUUCGUAACACAUAGUUUCCUGCCCAAAGGUAUAUGUCUGAAUUUUGCACUGUGUACUUACUGGAUAACAUGUUCCAUCUGGUUAUCCCAGUGCUGUUGCAUAAAUGAGACUAGACCCUAGGUGCUUCAAAUGUUUGCUCAUGAUAUAAAGGUAGAAGGCAAUAACAGUGCAGGAAGGGAGGGAGAAAGAAAUAAGUGAUCCUGAGGACAAGAAAGGAGGAAAUGUAAUAUUCGAUGUUAAACAGUUGAGAAUGAGUAUUAAAGAAAAUGAUCCUACUAUCGUAUAAUUUAGCCCAUAUUAUCAGAGACAGCAAGAGGGAUAUGAGCCAAGGAUUAGGAUGCCAAGGAGCUGAGUUCCAAUCUUGGCUCUGCAAAUGACUUGCUGUAUGCCCUUAGGUAAAUUCUCUACCUUCUCUCUUACAGCUUCUCUUUCUGUAUUAACAGGAUAAUAAUAUUUAGAUGAGCUUUGCAUGGACUAAUUAGUUAAUGAUUAUAAAGUGCUUGAAUAUGUAAAGUGCAAUGGAAGUGCUAAGGAUUAUGAUCAUCUUGGAAAUAAUGAGGAAUGUUUAUUAGUUAGUUAUUGUGAUUAUUUCUUUUAAACCUCUUUAUUGCUAAGUGUAUAAGAGGCUGUCAUCCAUUAAGUGGCUUUUACAAAGGGAUUUAAAAGGGAGAGGGUGGAGGCAUUGCUUGGAGGCACAGAUAGAGUUUUAACAGAAAGUUUCAAGAGUGCAAUCGUACCAGUUCUCACCUGAAUGUGAAAGAUGGGAGGGGGAGUAUAGAGUAGAGAACAGGGGACUGCAGCAUUUGUAGCCUCUAAUCAGUGUUAUGCCUCUUCUGCUCUGUGUGAUCUUGUACUGCCCAUUUGUUGGGUAAAAGUGCUUUGGAAGUGCUCACUGAGAUCACAUAGUCACUAAAACCGUUCUUUGAUUCUGUGAUUCUCGUCCAACUAUCUGCUCUAAGUAGGGUCAGACAGAGCAUGUUGUUCUCCAGGUGGAGUAUGAAUAUUUUCAAGUCUGGAGACUCUACAACCUGUCUGGGUAACCUGUUCUCCUGUUUGAUCACCUUCACAAAACAGUAGUAAGAACCAAGAUGCUAUUUCUUGUGUUUAAAUGGAAUUUCUUGCAUUUCAAUUUGUGCCCUUUGCUUCUUGUCCUGGGCAUUGUGUGCCACUGAGAAAAUACCUGUGUCCAUCUUCUUUUCCUACUUCCCUUAGGUAUUUAUACACAUAUAUGAGAUUCCUUAGAGGCUUCUCUUCUCCAGACUGAGCAACGCCAGCUCUGUCAGCCUCUCAUUUAGUGAAACAGUCCACUCCCUCAAUGAACUUAGUGGACCUAUUCCAGUAUGUUCAUCCCCACCUUGUCCGAGGGUGACCAGCACUGGACAAAGAGCUCCACAUGUGUCUCAUCAAGGCUCAGUAAAAAGAAAGGAUCACCUCCCUUGAUCAGCUAGCAAUGCUUAUAUUCUUAGAAUCAUAGAAUCAUUAGAGUUGGAAGGGACCCUUAAUGGUCAUUUAGUCCAAUUCCUCUGCA